GUCGAGAAUCAUUCACAAUGGGGGAAACCCUGAUGGUGUGACGCCGCGUGGAGGAUGAAGGUCUUCGGAUUGUAAACUCCUGUCAUGUGGGAGUAAAGCCGGGUGUUAAAUGCAUGCCGGUCUGAGAGUACCACAAGAGGAAGGGACGGCUAACUCUGUGCCAGCAGCCGCGGUAAUACAGAGGUCCCAAGUGUUGUUCGGAAUCACUGGGCGUAAAGGGUGCGUAGGCGGCGCGGAAAGUCAGGGGUGAAAUCCCGGAGCUCAACUCCGGAACUGCCUUUGAUACUCCCGCGCUUGAGAACUGGAGGGGAGACCGGAAUUCACGGUGGAGCAGUGAAAUGCGUGGAUAUCGUGAGGAACACUAGUGGCGAAGGCGGGUCUCUGGACAGUAUCUGACGCUGAGGCACGAAGGCCAGGGGAGCGAACGGGAUUAGAAACCCUAGUAGUCC
rnacentral:rRNA from 1 species